rnacentral:rRNA from 1 species
AUUGUGCCAGCGGCCGCGUUAAUACGGAGGGUGCAAGCGUUAAUCGGAAUUACUGGGCGUAAAGCGCACGCAGGCGGUCUGUCAAGUCGGAUGUGAAAUCCCCGGGCUCAACCUGGGAACUGCAUUCGAAACUGGCAGGCUAGAGUCUUGUAGAGGGGGGUAGAAUUCCAGGUGUAGCGGUGAAAUGCGUAGAGAUCUGGAGGAAUACCGGUGGCGAAGGCGGCCCCCUGGACAAAGACUGACGCUCAGGUGCGAAAGCGUGGGGAGCAAACAGGAUUAGAUACCCUGGUAGUCCACGCCGUAAACGAUGUCGACUUGGAGGUUGUGCCCUUGAGGCGUGGCUUCCGGAGCUAACGCGUUAAGUCGACCGCCUGGGGAGUACGGCCGCAAGGUUAAAACUCAAAUGAAUUGACGGGGGCCCGCACAAGCGGUGGAGCAUGUGGUUUAAUUCGAUGCAACGCGAAGAACCUUACCUACUCUUGGCAUCCAGAGAACUUUCCAGAGAUGGAUUGGUGCCUUCGGGAACUCUGAGACAGGUGCUGCAUGGCUGUCGUCAGCUCGUGUUGUGAAAUGUUGGGUUAAGUCCCGCAACGAGCGCAACCCUUGUCAUUAGUUGCUACGAAAGGGCACUCUAAUGAGACUGCCGGUGACAAACCGGAGGAAGGUGGGGAUGACGUCAGGUCAUCAUGGCCCUUAUGGGUAGGGCUACACACGUCAUACAAUGGCCGGGACAGAGGGCUGCCAACCCGCGAGGGGGAGCUAAUCCCAGAAACCCGGUCGUAGUCCGGAUCGUAGUCUGCAACUCGACUGCGUGAAGUCGGAAUCGCUAGUAAUCGCGGAUCAGCUUGCCGCGGUGAAUACGUUCCCGGGUCUUGUACACACCCCCCGUCACACCAUGGGAGUGGGUUGCCCCAGAAGUAGAUAGCUUAACCUUCGGGAGGGCGUUUACCACGGUGUGAUUCAUGACUGGGGUGAAGUCGUAACAAGGUACCCAAUCGUCGACCUGCAGG